UUUCUCGCUUCAUCCGCGGUCCCUGUCUGUUUUCGUUAUGGCGCCUUGUACUUCUACCCAACGUUGCCCGCCCCCCAUCUUCCCAGCCCACCAGCUCCGUCCGCCUCUCCGGAUGAUUCGUGAGAUACCGAGCCUGCCGGGAAGGGACCGGAUUUUUCCGUCUGGUCCAAGGAAGCACGGGUUAUGGCCACAUGCGCAGUGAUAACUCAGGGCCCCACGCCUUUUGACCCCUGUUGAUGAAGAUUGUGAGGAGGGAGACCAGAAGAUAAUGGACAACGAUACAGCAGAAGGGUCUGGUUACACUUGAGCUUAUUUCUUGGAAGAGUCUGAGAAGACGGCCUGUCAGGCUCCUAACACUAAGGGCCAUGUAACCAGUGAAGCAGCCAUUAUAUAUGAUUUGGUCUACACUUGUUGGAAAAAUUCCACAAGAGGAUCUCCUGGAAGCUAGCAGAAGUUUUUGGCUUGUACAUUGCCAGGCAGCCAUUGGAAUCGGAGCUGCAGUCAGAUUAAGGCNNNNNNNNNNNCAGCCUGGCCUACAUUGAGAAACCUCAUUUUGGGAAAGUGAAAUACUUUGUCAAUUAACAUGCAGUUGGUUCAAUAAAGACUUUUGGAAAGUG
ensembl:lincRNA Snhg12 small nucleolar RNA host gene 12